rnacentral:tRNA from 1 species
GCCGGAGUGGCGGAAUAGGCAGACGCAAGGGACUUAAAAUCCCUCGGGCUCAAAAGGCCCGUGUGAGUUCGAUUCUCACCUCCGGCACCA